AAAUGAAUUGACGGGGACCCGCACAAGCAGCGGAGCAUGUGGUUUAAUUCGAAGCAACGCGAAGAACCUUACCAGGGCUUGACAUCCCUCUGACAGAUCGGGUAACGCUGAUCUUCUCUUCGGAGCAGAGGUGACAGGUGGUGCAUGGUUGUCGUCAGCUCGUGUCGUGAGAUGUUGGGUCAAGUCCCGCAACGAGCGCAACCCCUACUGUCAGUUGCCAUCAUUAAGUUGGGCACUCUGACGGGACUGCCGGGGAUAACCCGGAGGAAGGCGGGGAUGACGUCAAAUCAUCAUGCCCCUUAUGUCCUGGGCGACACACGUGCUACAAUGGCCAGCACAGAGGGAAGCCAAGGAGCGAUCCGGAGCAAAACCCCAAAGCUGGCCCCAGUUCGGACUGCAGGCUGAAACCCGCCUGCACGAAGCCGGAGUUGCUAGUAAUCGCGGAUCAGAAUGCCGCGGUGAAUGCGUUCCCGGGUCUUGUACACACCGCCCGU
rnacentral:rRNA from 1 species